AGUGAACGCUGGCGGUAGGCCUAACACAUGCAAGUCGAACGGCAGCACAGUAAGAGCUUGCUCUUACGGGUGGCGAGUGGCGGACGGGUGAGGAAUACAUCGGAAUCUACUUUUUCGUGGGGGAUAACGUAGGGAAACUUACGCUAAUACCGCAUACGACCUACGGGUGAAAGCAGGGGAUCUUCGGACCUUGCGCGAUUGAAUGAGCCGAUGUCGGAUUAGCUAGUUGGCGGGGUAAAGGCCCACCAAGGCGACGAUCCGUAGCUGGUCUGAGGGGAUGAUCAGCCACACUGGAACUGAGACACGGUCCAGACUCCUACGGGAGGCAGCAGUGGGGAAUAUUGGACAAUGGGCGCAAGCCUGAUCCAGCCAUACCGCGCGGGUGAAGAAGGCCUUCGGGUUGUAAAGCCCUUUUGUUGGGAAAGAAAAGCAGCAGGUUAAUACCCCGCUGUUCUGACGGUACCCAAAGAAUAAGCACCGGCUAACUUCGUG
rnacentral:rRNA from 1 species